rnacentral:rRNA from 1 species
CCUACGGGAGGCAGCAGUGGGGAAUAUUGCACAAUGGGGGAAACCCUGAUGCAGCGACGCCGCGUGAGUGAAGAAGUAUUUCGGUAUGUAAAGCUCUAUCAGCAGGGAAGAAAAUGACGGUACCUGAUUAAGAAGCCCCGGCUAACUACGUGCCAGCAGCCGCGGUAAUACGUAGGGGGCCAGCGUUAUCCGGAUUUACUGGGUGUAAAGGGAGCGUAGACGGCAGCACAAGUCUGGAGUGAAAUGCCGGGGCUUAACCGCGGAACUGCUGUGGAAACUGUGCAGCUAGAGUGCAGGAGAGGUAAGUGGAAUUCCUAGUGUAGCGGUGAAAUGCGUAGAUAUUAGGAAGAACACC